rnacentral:rRNA from 1 species
CAGUAGCCACGGUAAAACGUAGGGUGCAAGCGUUAAUCGGAAUUACUGGGCGUAAAGCGUGCGCAGGCGGUUAUAUAAGACAGAUGUGAAAUCCCCGGGCUCAACCUGGGAACUGCAUUCGUGACUGUAUAGCUAGAGUACGGCAGAGGGGGAUGGAAUUCCGCGUGUAGCAGUGAAAUACGUAGAUAUGCGGAGGAACACCGAUGGCGAAGGCAAUCCCCUGGGCCUGUACUGACGCUCAUGCACGAAAGCGUGGGGAGCAAACAGGAUUAGAUACCCCCGUAGUCCCUGUCUCUUAUAC